GGGAGGGCAUCUGACUCAUAGGGAGGGCAUCUGACUCUCUGUGUGUCCCAGAUGGGCCUCCGUACUUGUUCUUUUUCGCUGUGAAGUUUUACACAGAGGAGCCGCACAAACUGCAGCCGAGCACCAGGUUUCAGUUUUUUCUGCAGUUGCAGCAAGACAUUGACUCAGGCCAUAUGCCCCUCCCCCCACACAUCAGGCCUCGCCUACAGGCGCUACGGCUACAAGGGGAGAGGGGAGAUUAUGACGAGGAGCAGUGGGCGGAGUCUGAACUGAACCAGGAAGUGAGCACCAUUUACAAAGCCC
ensembl:lncRNA